CGCGCAGGCGGCCUUUUAAGUUGGAUGUGAAAGCCUACGGCUCAACCGUAGAACUGCAUCCAAAACUACUAGGCUAGAGUGUGGGAGAGGAAGAUGGAAUUAGUUGUGUAGGGGUAAAAUCCGUAGAGAUAACUAGGAAUACCAAAAGCGAAGGUAAUCUUCUGGAACAUUACUGACGCUGAGGCGCGAAAGCGUGGGGAGCAAACA
rnacentral:rRNA from 1 species